rnacentral:rRNA from 1 species
UACGUAGGUGGCAAGCGUUGUCCGGAUUUACUGGGCGUAAAGAGCGCGUAGGCGGCCCUCUUAGUCGCGUGUGAAAGCCCCGGGCUCAACCUGGGAACGGCGCGCGAAACGGGAGGGCUGGAGUUCGGGAGAGGAGAGUGGAAUUCCCAGUGUAGAGGUGAAAUUCGUAGAUAUUGGGAAGAACACCAGUGGCGAAGGCGGCUCACUGGCCCGGUACUGACGCUGAGGCGCGAAAGCGUGGGGAGCAAACAGG